AAACCUACAAACAGGUUUGGUUUAUAAUCCUAAGAAGGCCAAAAUCAAGUUUAAACAAUAAGGAAUACCUUGACCUAUCAAUUAUAAAGAAUUGAAAACUAAAAUAAUUCAAAGGUAGAAUCAAGGAUUUUUGACCCAAAGUUCAUGAUCAAACAAGAACCAAGAAUAUUAAGAUUGUUAAACCCUACAAUAUUAUUCACUCAUGGAGAAUUUGGUUUAGAAUCCCUCUCUUUUGUUAAUCCCAAGUAAUGUUAAAUUGAAAAAUUAUUUAGUUAGCCUUAUAUAUGCGGCUGAAACCCUAAAUCUCU
rnacentral:misc_RNA from 1 species